UGUUGCCUACGGGGGGCAGCAGUGAGGAAUAUUGGUCAAUGGGCGCAAGCCUGAUCCAGCUAUUCCGCGUGUGGGAUGACGGCCCUCGGGUUGUAAACCACUUUAGUAGAGAACGAAAAGGAGCUAUCGAAUAAAUAGCUCUGCUGACGGUACUCUAAGAAUAAGCACCGGCUAACUACGUGCCAGCAGCCGCGGUAAUACGUAGGGUGCGAGCGUUAAUCGGAAUUACUGGGCGUAAAGGGUGUGCAGGCGGCUGAGUAAGACAGAUGUGAGAUCCCCGGGCUUAACCUGGGAAC
rnacentral:rRNA from 1 species